UCCAUCUAACAACACCCCCCAGGGGUAGGCAGCACAGAGAGAGAAAGAGAUCUGGGACUCAAAUGGGACUCCAGCGGUUGCUCUGCAGAUCCCUCAAUGCUUUGUCAUUGAGCAACUAGGGCCGAUGGAAUCGCGUAAAGGAAAAUGCACCAGAAGAUGGAGCUGCUCCGCGAAGCAACUUCUCCAUAUUUCCACCGCUCAAGAUGAAUCGAUCUAUUUUCCUUAAAAGAACUUUUUUAAAAAAACCUGCGUUUAAGAAAUUGCUUUUUUUUUAAGCUUGAACAGCGGUUACCUGCUUUAAAUUUUAAGGAAAUACAUCUGCGUUCGAAAUUCCAGCAUCUGCAGUAAUUUGCUCCUACAUUGUGGUUUCGAAUGUUGCGUUCUCCCCACUAACGACUGUCCCUCUGGAUUCUUUCUUUCGGUAACCAUACCGUCCUGCACUUCUAGCUGCGCUUGAUUGUGAACAAUUAUGAUCUAUGGAUCGAAAUGCCACACCAUUCGAUGUCACGCCCGGUGUCUUUAGCGACCGGCUAUCACAACUUGUCUCAAUUUGAAUCAGGUACAGAAAGGGGCGUGCUGAAAAUAAACUUAAACCAUGAAAUACCAGGGCACUCCAAAAAGAAAUCGGUUGAAUUAAAAGGAAAGACGGAAAACUGGCCCUUUUAAAGUGAAAGGGUACUUAUUAUUGCCAGUGUUUAAAAAAAGGGGUCAAAUUUGUAACAAAAAAAGCACGUCACUUUUCCAGUCCCAUGUUUGGAAACUAGAGUCAACAGUCAAGGCAAACUGACUCCUAUCAGGGAAGGGUGAACGUUGCUCGAUUGAGCGCUUUAGCAUUCAUAUUUUACGGUUGUGAGACGAGGGGACCCGGCGAGUGUUGGAGUUUCAACGCCCGAUUAGAUGAACAAAAGUGCUGAGGAAUAAAGGAAUACCGCUUAACCGACACGACGCUUUCAGUUUCAAAUGAACGCUCGCCAGGGAAGGAAGCAUCAGCUACAACAAAACAAGCAACAACAAAAAAUUCAAUCAUUAUAAUGCUGCCUGGAAAUUGUCUCUCUUUAUUGUGGCCCGGUCACGUCCGAGAAAAGACAGCCUUUAAUUAGGAUUUUUUUUUUCGCUUACGUGGAGAAAGCAUUAAUAAUCUUCAUGUGAAUUUAAUUGAAUUAUAUACCGUAGUGCAAGGAAGGAAAUUGCGUUGUGCAAUCUUGCUGGCUGCCUUGCAAAUUAGAAGAUGAACGCAUUUUAAAUAGUAUGGAAGUGACUUGUUUUAAUUUAAACUGAAU